UCUUGCAUGAGAAUGAGGAAGGGAGAAGAGAAUAAGUUUUGCUAUACAUAUAUUUAGAAGGAAAGGAAAGAAAGCUUUUAAUACAAAAUAUGAACAGUAAAAGAACAGGAGAAGGAGAAGAAUAUUUAAGCUUUAGAAGUAACAACUAUAAAUGAGAGUGAUAGACGAAGAGAAGAGAUCGAGCUUUUGAGUAGUUUACCCAUCGUGAUCAGGUGUGUGUAGAUUUUGCCGGAAACCGAAGAUCACAUCAUUCUAGAGGGCGAAAGCAAAAGAUGGGAAAAGAAGAGAAAAUGAGCGGCUUUUGAACUGAUCAAGUCAUAUUUCAACCGAAGCCAGCCAACCUUGCGCUGGAGAGAAGACUAUGAACUCCACUCUAAAGUGUGAAGGGCAAAGGCGUCAUUUUAGGAGGGGUGGUACCCUAGGGAUCAGAGCCAUACGCCUCCCUAUAUAAAGGAGCCUUGCACACUAAGAGAAGGGAGUUCCCCCACAUUUCAUUUCUUGCUGAGUAGUUUAGAGGGGAGUUCUCUUUAGAGUAGGUAGGAUUUCUAGCUCUCUUCCAGGGCUGAAAUCAGAGUUCUCUUCAAUUCAGAGCUUUUCAAUCUCUCGCACACACUUGGUUCCGUCUAGAGUAACUGGUAGUUAGCUGUUUCCUUGCUGUUCUCGCACAUUUCCAGUUUCUAUUUUGGUAUUCCACUCCGAGAAGGGGUGAUGAACAAUUUCCUGCUUUCUUAGUUUAGUUCUGUUUUAUUUUCAUG